rnacentral:rRNA from 1 species
CCCUUAGAUGUUCUGGGCCGCACGCGCGCUACACUGAUGCAUUCAACGAGUCUAAAACCUGGUCUGAUAGGGCUGGGUAAUCUUUUGAAAGUGCAUCGUGAUUGGGAUAGAUGAUUGCAAUUCUUCAUCUUCAACGAGGAAUGCCUAGUAAACGCAAGUCAUCAGCUUGCAUUGAUUACGUCCCUGCCCUUUGUACACACCGCCCGUCGCACCUACCGAUUGAAUGGUCCGGUGAAAUCUCGGGACGGCGGCUUGGUCGCUUGCGUCCGACUGCUGAAACUUGAUUAAACCAUAUCAUUUAGAGGAAGGUGAANUCGUANCA